UGUUUCUCCCUGUGUAUCUGUCCCUGUCCCUGUGUGAGUGUGUCUCUCCCCGUGUGUCACCAUCACCAUGCCCACAGUGUUUCUAUGUCUUGACACAGGACGUUCUGUGCAGGGCAAGAAGAAGAAGUAGAAGGAAGAGGAGGCAGCACCGCCAGCAUGGAGUCCAUGGGAGAGGCACAGGGAGGCACACUAAGGACGUACCUUCAAUGUCUGUUGAAGGGCAGGACCAAUCGUCAUUCACCAAGGGCACCUGCAACUUUUCCCAGACGUCAUUUGCCGAUAACUUCUCCAAUCAGAUCCUGUUGCCAGGAAUCUUAGAUCACUGUGAGACCAAUUGAGCUUCGGAAUCAUUUCUGAGAAGAUAAUGACUGCAUUUGUUUUAAAACUAUAUUAUCCCAAAUCGUAAAACUGAUCCGGAGAGCAGCGAAGAAGGCCAAAAGAAAAACAGAUCGGAAAAGCAGAGUUUCUAAAUCCGAAGAACUUAUUGAGGGUCCAACUGUAGAAGGCUCGAGGGAAGGAUGCAGAAGCUCUGUAUCACCUGCUUCCUGAACCAAAGGGGU